rnacentral:rRNA from 1 species
UACGGGGGGAGCAAGCGUUGUUCGGAUUUACUGGGCGUAAAGGGCUCGUAGGCGGCCAACUAAGUCGGAUGUGAAAUCCCCAGGCUUAACCUGGGAACUGCAUCCGAUACUGGAUGGCUUGAAUCCGGGAGAGGGAUGCAGAAUUCCAGGUGUAGCGGUGAAAUGCGUAGAUAUCUGGAGGAAUACCGGUGGCGAAGGCGGCAUCCUGGACCGGCAUUGACGCUGAGGAGCGAAAGCUAGGGGAGCAAACGGG